AUACAUUUACUUAUUUUUGAACAACCAAUUUUGUACUUAAUGUAGUGUGGAAGUGAAUUCAAAUUAAACAUAUCCUGAAGCAUAUUUGAUUGUGCUAAAGGUGGACCUAUUUCAAGUAUACUACAGGGGUAAAUAUCUGGCAUUUAAGACUGAAGUUAUACAGAGAUCAUACAAUCCUCAUCUGUAGUGACAUUAGAACAUAUUUUAGAUUUGAUGUUAAGAAAUGUGCAUUGUGCACAAGUAAUACUCCAAAUAAAGUUUAAUUAUAUUUUUGAUAUCAGUCUCAAGCAACAUUUUAGUAAAUAUGUUAAUAGAUUUGAACUAUACUUAGUAUGGAAUAAAUGUAUUUUGGAUAUAUUCCUCUUUUGCUAGGGGAGUUAUAUGCAGAUGCCCAAUAAAAUAAAAGCAUUAUUCCUUGGAGCUAUAAUGGGAGGAGUGCAAAAGACGAAAUCUGCCAUUAAUCGAUGGUUCCUGCUUCUAGACAGUUAGGGAUUGAACUCCUACUGUGUUUGUGUUUUGUGGUUGUGGGUAGUAGUCCACAAGUUGGCCAUAGCCUAUAUGUAAAACCUUAUCCACUGUUGGCUGUGGUAGACCAGCUUUCAUUAAUGCCCAAGCAAGUUUGUUGAAUGUUUAUUGUACUGAUAUUGUAUUUGUAAUUAAUUAGUUUACUGAAGUAAUAGAUGUUUUAAAUAUUUGAUGUACCUCCUAGUAUCUUUUCUUCUCUGAAAAACUUUGACUUUUAAAUCAUACUGAUGGUACAAACCAUGGAAUAUUUGCAUUUCCUUUUCCUUUUAUUUGCCUAGCCCCACCUGGAUCAUUGUUUUUAUACUGGUACAUCUUGCAAUGCAUUCUUUAAGUUGAGGAGCCUGCCAAGCCUGUCCACAUUUUUCUUUUUCUUUUUCUUUUUUGUAAGCAAUUACGUCAGUAAAAUAUGAAAAAUAUGAAGUAUUUUCACAUUUUUGAGCAGGAGUCAUUAAGGUGUGAUCAUUAUUUUCCGAAGUUGUUCAUUCAAAGUCAGUAGUUACCUGUGGAAGUAUGCUUUACCAUUAGGGGUUAUUUUUCUGGAUUUAUUUCUUUAUUGUGGAGCAGUUGGAUGAUUGGAAUUUCACAGAGUCGAGGCUUCAUUUAACCAUGUUGAACCCAGGGACAAAAAGGGGAACACCUGUUACAACUUCUCCUGCUUGAAAGAUGUGGAGUUGUGUCCAACUGUCGUCGAUACUUUGCCGCUCAAGUAUCCUGUCCAGUGUGUGGACAACCGUGAUGGUCGAGAUGGACAAGUGGUGUUUGACUCUGAAUCAUUUCACAGUUAUUUCCAUUCCAUCGGUCAACCAAAUGCUUCUGUUCAAUGCCUGGAAAAUCCAGAGGGUAAAGAUGGAGUAGUGGUGAUCGGCCGUGAUUCAUUUCCAAUGCCCCUGUUGCAUUUCUAAAGUGGAAGACCUUGAUAAAGAUAAUGAUGUGUAUUCAUUUACAUAUGCCUGUAAAAAAGUAUUAUUCCCUGAAAAAAUGUAUAUGUGAAUGAAUCAGUAUUUGUUUUUCAAUAAAAUAUUUUUAAACAGCUUUUAUAAUUGUUUUUUUCUUUGUUCACAAUUGAACUCAGAACAGACAAAUAAUUUACCACUCUUCAGGACCAGGGGCCGGAUGAACCAGCUGGACGAACACCCGGUUGUAAGACUAGGCUGGACGUAAAAUGUGCUUUAAGUCGUGCGUAGAAUUUAUACACCUUAUUUUUCAUGUUAGCGUGGGCACUGCCCUUUUAGAAACAUAAUGUGUCCGAUUUCCUGCAAGACAUUUGUUUUGACUAUAAUCCACGCACAAGAGCUGAAUGUGGAUUGGACACCCAUAUGAUAUGCACGCCCCUCCAAAGAGGCAAGCUCGUCGGCUUUAGUUAAAAAAACUUAAACUUAAAGAAACCACCUAAAUUUCCAUAUGCUUGCUCUUUCCACUUCGUUGAUGGCGACCCAUUAUUCAUCCAUUCCCCAAGAAACGAUGCUCCAGUGAAGACUCCGAGGCGACAGGUACAGUGCAUUACAGCUUCUUGUUGAGUUACAUGCUCUAACAAAAGACAUUGUUUAAACUAUUUUUUUAUCCAUACGCUCCUAUUGGGCAUUAAUAAAAUUUAGUGCUAAGCUGAAGUUGUUGAUAACAGAAGAAAACUGUAACAAAACCGCACAUAGAGGGAUAGGUAAAAUUAAAAUGCUGUCAUUUACUUACUCUGGAGUUGUUCCAAACCUGUUCAUUUCUUUUUGGUGCUGAUCACAAAGGAAGAUAUUUCGAAAAAAUGUUUGUAACCAAGCACAUCUUGGGUCCCAUUCACUUCCAUAGUUGUAAGAAAUGAUACUAUGGAAAUGAAUAGGAUCCGAGAAUAGUUUGUGUAUUAACAUUAUUCCAAAUAUAAUCCUUUGUGUUUAGUAGAACAAAUAAAGUUAUACAGGUUUAGAACAACUCAAGGUUGAGUAAAUGAUAAAAAUGUUAAUUUUUGGGUGAACUAUCCCUGAAAGCCGGGUAACAUUACUGUGAUUGUAUUGAAUAAAAGUACCACUGGGAUUGAAACACCAUGGUGCCAUGUACAAAAUACUUUGUUACUUUUUGCAAAUAAAUAUGACUUUAUCAGUUUCUCCUGUGCAUCUGACUGACUUCAGUGUUGUGUUUUGCAGAUGAUGAGACCAGGCACCCUUCAGGACAGUGAUGCCUGAAAGUCCAGGCAUUGACAGACCACACUUAUGCCUCGGGAGAUAAAAUAAUGUUACACAAGGCAAUAAAAUUCUAGAGUGAAGAUCCCUUGGCCCUUGCCUUUCUCAAGAAUGACACUAGCUCUUUAUUCUACACUGUUCUACACUUCCAAUUCUACACUUCCAAUUUUAAGAUGCAAGUAAUGGAUCAAAUUCUGAUGACCAUGAUGAAGCUGAAAUUGAAUUUAUUUCAAGGAGAUCUUGCCGAAUGCUUUGAGGAGGAGCACAUUCCAUGUCAUUUUAUAUGAAAUCUAGAAUGGUGUAGUAAUUUUGGAUACAUUGUGUAAUUGUUUGGAAUUAUUCAGGGUUACCAUUAAAUAUACUGUUUUUACACAAAUAUAUAUUUUUAAAUAUAUUACUUUUUCUUCUUUAUAUAUGCACACACACAAACGCACAAUAAAAAUGUCAAGGUGCAGUUUGCUUAGAUUUUUUCCCCCCUGACUGAAAAUGAUACAGUUUAGCAAUGUAAGGUAAAUAAUGGACAAUUUGUCAUUUUUUUUUUUUUUUUACAAAAUUCAUGGAACAAAUGGAAAACAUUCUUAAUAGUACUGUAAAACGAAUAAUUUCUUCCAAAAUAAAAAGUUCUAUAAAUAAAUAUAUAAAGUACACAGUCUUUUUGUUUUGUGAUGGUUGUGCAUGAUUCCCUUGUUUGUUCUGAACAGUUAAACUA